CAAGUCGAACGGUAGCACAGGGGAGCUUGCUCCUUGGGUGACGAGUGGCGGACGGGUGAGUAAUGUCUGGGGAUCUGCCCGAUGGAGGGGGAUAACUACUGGAAACGGUAGCUAAUACCGCAUAACCUCGAAAGAGCAAAGUGGGGGACCUUCGGGCCUCACACCAUCGGAUGAACCCAGAUGGGAUUAGCUAGUAGGUGGGGUAACGGCUCACCUAGGCGACGAUCCCUAGCUGGUCUGAGAGGAUGACCAGCCACACUGGAACUGAGACACGGUCCAGACUCCUACGGGAGGCAGCAGUGGGGAAUAUUGCACAAUGGGCGCAAGCCUGAUGCAGCCAUGCCGCGUGUAUGAAGAAGGCCUUCGGGUUGUAAAGUACUUUCAGCGGGGAGGAAGGGAUGAAGGUUAAUAACCUUCGUCAUUGACGUUACCCGCAGAAGAAGCACCGGCUAACUCCGUGCCAGCAGCCGCGGUAAUACGGAGGGUGCAAGCGUUAAUCGGAAUUACUGGGCGUAAAGCGCACGCAGGCGGUUUGUUAAGUCAGAUGUGAAAUCCCCGGGCUCAACCUGGGAACUGCAUUUGAAACUGGCAAGCUUGAGUCUCGUAGAGGGGGGUAGAAUUCCAGGUGUAGCGGUGAAAUGCGUAGAGAUCUGGAGGAAUACCGGUGGCGAAGGCGGCCCCCUGGACGAAGACUGACGCUCAGGU
rnacentral:rRNA from 1 species